AGCGAACGCUGGCGGCAGGCCUAACACAUGCAAGUCGAACGGAUCCUUCGGGAUUAGUGGCGGACGGGUGAGUAACACAUGGGAACGUGCCCUUUGGUUCGGAACAACUCAGGGAAACUUGAGCUAAUACCGGAUGUGCCCUUCGGGGGAAAGAUUUAUCGCCAUUAGAGCGGCCCGCGUCUGAUUAGCUUGUUGGUGAGGUAAAGGCUCACCAAGGCUACGAUCAGUAGCUGGUCUGAGAGGAUGAUCAGCCACACUGGGACUGAGACACGGCCCAGACUCCUACGGGAGGCAGCAGUGGGGAAUCUUGCGCAAUGGGCGAAAGCCUGACGCAGCCAUGCCGCGUGAAUGAUGAAGGUCUUAGGAUUGUAAAAUUCUUUCACCGGGGACGAUAAUGACGGUACCCGGAGAAGAAGCUCCGGCUAACUUCGUGCCAGCAGCCGCGGUAACAC
rnacentral:rRNA from 1 species